CGCUCAUUGGCUGGGGCUGAGUGUGGUGCUACUUCUUCUUUGGAAUUUUCUCCUUUUUGAUCAAUUCGGAAAAUUCUAGAGCAGGAGACAGAUUUCUACGUCUGGAACGCCUUCCGGAUGACGCUCUCCAGCUGCCCCGAGGCCCGGAACUUCUGCAUGUACUACAAGAACUUGACGCAGCGGAGGGAAACUGGGGGGGACUGGCCGUGUCACCCAGGCCUCCGUGCUCGGGCCGGGCGGCCUGGCCGGCGGGGCCUGGGCCCAGAGGGAGACUCCUGUCACAGGGCGGGGGCUGCCGGGCCCUGUGCCCUCCCCCAGCCCGGGGGCUCGUGUGUGCACAGGUCUCGUCCACAGUGGGCGGCCCGGCGGUACCAUGGUGCCUCGCAUCGGCGGGCAGAGGUCUGUGUCCUCGUCCGACAGGGACGCGCCCGUGGCCAACACCAUCUCCUUCAUCUGGGAGGAGAAAUUGUCGUCCAUCCUGGCCCUGUGGGCACGGGGAGCCAUCGGCAGGAUGCUGGGCGGGAGAUGGCACCCUGCCUGGACGCUGCGCAGCGCCAGAUCCCAAGAGGCGUCUGAGCCCCGUCUCUUGGUGGCCUGCCCCCUUGAGGGGUUACCCACUUCCCAGCAGAGACAGGCCCUGAAAGAGUAAAUUUCUGCUGGGCAGGUGAGGUCGGGGCGCAGGCCGAGGGGCCAGGGCGGGGCCGGGCUGUCCUGUGCCCCAGGGCAGCCCCUUGUGACCCCAGAGCUCUCGGGUUGCCGUCCCCAGGGCAGGUUGGGUUCUGGGGCUGGUGGCAGAGCAGCUAUUUCAGAGGCUCCUUGGCCCUCUCCGAAGUUCACGUGGUGGCAGAGCCUUCUGGAACCUGCUCCCGUCGCCAGGAGAGGCAGCCCAUUGGCCUACAGGGCGCCAGCCGGCCUGGCAGCGGCUGGAGGAAGCCUCUGCUUUCCUCCCAGGAGAGACGCCUCGGAUCAAAGGAGGUCCCACCCUGCCUGCUGACUUCACGGGGCUGAGAUGGGGUGGCCAUCCCCCAACCCGAGACGGCCCGUGUGUCCGAGGCAGCAACAGAAGACUCUGGAUGAUUGGGCCUCCUUGGGUGCCCCACGGCCCCCAGCGGGCAGCACGGACAUCGGCCCCCAGGGCUGUCCACCCAGCGGAUGCGAUCCGCGUGAAAGGAAGGAGGCGCCGGGUCGCUACAGCGCAGAUGAGCCCUGACAGCCCCGCGCGGCGUGAAAAGAGCCGGUCACAGCCGACCGCAGGGUCUGUGAUGCCAUUUGCAGAAAAUGUCCAGCCGAGUCCAGUCCGUGGAGACAGAAAGCAGAUGGGUGGGGGCUGGGGGCAAUGGGGGGUUCCCAGUGAGCGCGGGGUUUGCCUUUAGAGCGUUCUGGAACCAGAUAAAGGUGAUGGUUGCGCUCCAUGGUGAAUGCACCAAGCGCUGCUGAAUUGUUCACGGAAAAUGGUUUCUCUUACGUUAUCUGAGCACCCCCUCCGCCCGGCCUCCGGUGGGGUGCUGCCGCCGUCUUCCGGAAGGCUCUGUCCGUGCCCACCCUGCCCAGGACGUGAGACGACGAUGAGGAGCGGGUGGGCGGGUCCCUGGGCUGGCACCUGCCCGGAGCUGACAGAUGGCCAGUCCCCCGGGCAGCCCCUCCCGCUUCGUUUCUGUCCGGCUGCCCCUCCUCUCCUGAAGCCCUGACCCGGCUUACCCGCCCCGCUCUGGGCUGAGCAGGCCUCACGGAGCCAGGGGGAUCAGCUCACAGCCCUGUGCCCAGGCCCGGCAGGCGCUGCCCCUUGGGUCUCCCGGGCCCUGGUGGGACAGGCACUGCCUCCCCUCCCCCACCCGCCUGGAACAGCUUCGGCAGGGGGCACGGGGGCUGCUCCCAGCCCCUCCUGCUGGAAGCCAGCCCUGCCCCAUGCGCGUCCUGAACACAGAAGAGGAGCCGGCCUCCUUUGCCAGGGAGCCGUUUUACGAGGACCAAGCUCCUCAAGCCGCAGCCUCCUCAGACGCUGGUGUGUCCCCCUGACCGGACCAGGCGGCAUCUCCAGGGGGCCAGGUACCAGCGCAGCCGCACUUGCCUCCCCAGGUCCCUGGGCAAAGGCCGGGACCCCUCGCACCCACCCCCGCCUCGCAGAGCACAGCCACGCGGGCGGCCUGCAGGAGAGAGGUUCCCCUGGGGUGGGGGGCUGUCUCUGGGCAAGUGCGGGUGGGGCCGGCCUUUCGCCUUGGCGACGGCCCCCUCCCACGCCCCCCGUCGGGGGGGUAAAGCAAUCACAAGGGGCGCCUGUUCCCCUUCCCCCCAGGCCGGGACCAUCCCCUCUGCAGCAGGAAGAGGUGGGCGGGGGAAGCCACUGGGGGUGAGGUCCCAGCAGGCGGGGUGUCCCUGGGGCCAGGGCUCUGGGGUCCCCAACACUGGGUCUGUGGGCCGAAUCCAGGGCGGCCUUUCGGGCAGACCUGCUGACGCGGGUUCUUCUCAGAGGAGGGACUCUAGGAGCUGGCCGUCGCCCUGGCCCUGCCCCUGUGUCCUUUAACCACAAAAGGUCCUGGUCCCGGUACCUUGAUGGGAAGAGCAUCGUCACCGACGUGACCCUGAAGACCAGGCCCCCCCAGCUCGGGACAGGCCCUAACCAGUGACUGGCUCCUGAUAAGAGGGACAGAGACAAGAGAAAGGCCACAGGAGGCGGAGGGACAGAGGCAGAGGCCGGGUGAUGCCGCCAGGGGCCAAGGAGCACCUGGGCCUCCAGGAGCCAGAGGGGGUAGGAAGGGGCUCCUCUGACCUUUGGAGGCGCCUGGCCCCGUGGCCUUCAGCUGGGACGGCCGGCUCCAGACUGGGGAGAACCUGUUUCUGCUUGAAGCCCCGUUUUUGCGGUCAUUUGUCAUGGCCGCCCCAGGACACUCUCACGUCCGCGGCUUCCCGCCUCACUCCCUGGGGGCCUGGAAGUUCCUGGAGGGGCUCCCAGGGGCUGCGCCCUCCAGGUGGGCCAGGGGCCCCCUGGGCUGGGGAUUUAAGGGGUGAGCAGCCCUGAGCUCCCACGGCCUCAGGCUCGGGGGGCUCAGCACUGUUUCUGCUCCUGCCUUGAUUCAAAAUCGUCUGUUGCUGACCACGCAUUUUGCUCGUUAGUUUUGAUGCUUUAGGACAUGGCAUUAAAAUAGUUACUUUGAUCACCAAAGUUAUUAUUCAACAGGGUUGGUUUUUUUUUUUUGUUUUUGUUUUUCCUGUUGUUUUCUUUUUUAGGGCCACACCCGCGGC